UACGAAGGGGGCUAGCGUUGCUCGGAAUUACUGGGCGUAAAGGGCGCGUAGGCGGAUAGUUUAGUCAGAGGUAAAAGCCCAGGGCUCAACCUUGGAACUGCCUUUGAUACUGGCUAUCUUGAGUUCGGGAGAGGUGAGUGGAAUGCCGAGUGUAGAGGUGAAAAUUCGUAGAUAUUCGGCGGAACACCAGUGGCGAAGGCGACUCACUGGCCCGAUACUGACGCUGAGGCGCGAAAGCGUGGGGAGCAAACAGG
rnacentral:rRNA from 1 species